CAUGCGGCGAGCUAUACAUGCAAGUCGAGCGAAUCGAUGGGAGCUUGCUCCCUGAGAUUAGCGGCGGACGGGUGAGUAACACGUGGGCAACCUGCCUAUAAGACUGGGAUAACUUCGGGAAACCGGAGCUAAUACCGGAUACGUUCUUUUCUCGCAUGAGAGAAGAUGGAAAGACGGUUUACGCUGUCACUUAUAGAUGGGCCCGCGGCGCAUUAGCUAGUUGGUGAGGUAAUGGCUCACCAAGGCGACGAUGCGUAGCCGACCUGAGAGGGUGAUCGGCCACACUGGGACUGAGACACGGCCCAGACUCCUACGGGAGGCAGCAGUAGGGAAUCUUCCGCAAUGGACGAAAGUCUGACGGAGCAACGCCGCGUGAACGAAGAAGGCCUUCGGGUCGUAAAGUUCUGUUGUUAGGGAAGAACAAGUACCAGAGUAACUGCUGGUACCUUGACGGUACCUAACCAGAAAGCCACGGCUAACUACGUGCCAGCAGCCGCGGUAAUACGUAGGUGGCAAGCGUUGUCCGGAAUUAUUGGGCGUAAAGCGCGCGCAGGUGGUUCCUUAAGUCUGAUGUGAAAGCCCACGGCUCAACCGUGGAGG
rnacentral:rRNA from 2 species